AAAACUUUAAGUUAAAUCAAAAACUGUUAAUUUUCAAAAUUAAAAUUAAAAUAUUAUUUUAAGUUUUA
rnacentral:tRNA from 1 species